rnacentral:lncRNA from 1 species
AAUCCUAGGAUUUUUGACACCAAUCGAGUGUAGAGAUGAAAGACAAGAGUGUUUGGCAAAUAUCAACAAAGAAAGUAAAAUAAAAAAUCCUAAGAAAGAACUUAAGACUUUAACGUAAAGAAACACAGUAGAAGAAUCAACAUAAGAAACACAGUACAAGAACAAUAUAAAAAACACAGAAGAACACGUUAAAGAUCAAAAGAACUUCUAAAUAACUUGAGAAAAUCCUAAAUCAAAAAAGAUAAAGGUUUUGAAAGAGAGUUUUGAAAGAAACUUUGAGAAAACGUUUGAAAUUUUAGGAAAAAUAAGGAAAUAGAACAAAUCUAAAGAAAUCAGAAGAACCUCAAAAGUUAGGGUUUUAGAAGAACAUGAUGGUGACAAAGGCUUGGAAGGUCAUCGAUCUUAGCAGGAGAAAUCAAGCUCAGGCUUGAACAGCCAUGGCUGGCCAUAGCAAGGUCUGAAAUAGCCAUAGAACUUGAAUGAAACAAAAUCUGGGCCAAGCUUCUUCAUGGUCAGGCCUUGAAAUUAUGGUAACCAUGUGCUUAGGAGUUAUAGGAGACUGGUAUAGGACUUCAAUGGCCUUGGAAGCCAUGGAUUCUGGUGAUUUUAGGGUGGAAGCUGAGGAAGGCGGCUAAGGUUUGAGAGGAGUUUGAGAUAAAGCUGGGAGAAGGGGAAAUUCAAGGGUGG